CUUAAGACAAUUGUGUGCCAGAGCCUACUCCCACUUUUAUUCCACUGCCAUGAUGAGAACCGGAACGUGGCAGAGGCUUCUCGGGAAACGCUGAUUUGUGCGGCCAAGUUCCUGAAGAGGAGAAAUCUUGGGCAGCUGGUGAAGAAGGAGCAGCUGUCGAAGUUUGCCGAGUGCCUGCUGGCAGAGGACAGGAGCCGAGCGGCCGAGCGCCUGCACCAGGCGCUGCCGUUCGCGGAGAGCCCGCAGGAGUCCCUGCGAGAGGCGGCCGUCAGGUUCAUCGGGACUGCCAGGGUGUUCUUGAGGGGGCACAAGGAAGAGCUCCAGCUCCUCGGUGAGGCCCUUCAAGCCCUGAGGAGAGACGACAGCCCUUCCCAGACAAACAUCAUAGUUCAGGAAAUACUCAACGAAAGAGCUGCAG